rnacentral:tRNA from 3 species
GGACCAUUAGCUCAGUUGGUUAAAGCCAACCGCUCAUAACGGUUAGGUCACAGGUUCGAGUCCUGCAUGGUCCA